UGGGGAAUAUUGGGCAAUGGGCGAAAGCCUGACCCAGCAAUGCCGCGUGAAGGACGAAGGUCUUCGGAUUGUAAACUUCUUUGAUCAGGGACGAAUAAAUGACGGUACCUGAAGAACAAGCCACGGCUAACUACGUGCCAGCAGCCGCGGUAAUACGUAGGUGGCGAGCGUUAUCCGGAUUUACUGGGUGUAAAGGGCGUGUAGGCGGAUUCUCAAGUUGGAUGUGAAACCCCUUGGCUAAACUGAGGGCUUGCAUUCAAAACUGAGGACCUUGAGUAUCAGAGGGGAAAGUGGAAUUCCUGGUGGAGCGGUAAAAUGCGUAGAGAUCAGGAGGAACACCGGUGGCGAAGGCGACUUUCUGGCUGACAACUGACGCUGAGGCGCGAAAGCGUGGGGAGCAAACAGG
rnacentral:rRNA from 1 species